rnacentral:lncRNA from 12 species
CCUGAUUAUAGUUUACAGCCGUGGGACUUUUUUUUCCUGUAGAGGAGGGGACACGAGCAAGUCAUCGCUUGGCUCAUAGGAGCCUCGCCAUUAUGUGAGGUCAAAUUCCUGAUACAUUUGUGUUUGAGUUUGAGGUGGAGGCGUUAGGAAUGAAUGCACCAGGAAGCCCUGAACGCAGGAGUGUGCAUCAGAGAGAUUGUUCCUCUUCUCUCUGGGAAGUCAAGAGCAGAAUCCUUCAGAGCAGGACCUGCUACAGAAGUCCAGAUCAGCUUGCAUUAAGAACAUUAAAAUAUCCUUUUGAGACUGGUUUCCCAGAGGAAGAAAGCAUAUGUUCUUAUGGGUUGUGCAUGCGUUAAACUUGGUGUGUUCUCACAUUUCUGUCCAGUAAUUUUGAAACCUGUUGCUCUAUUUUAGUUAGAGUUUAUAAAUUUCACAGCAAAGUUCCUGCAGGUAGUAGACAGAAGAGAGGGGACCCUAUAAAUAUCCUGAUGCAGGAAAAUGGUUCACUGUGCAUGUAUUAGACUCUGGGGACAUCACAUAGGAAAAAAUGACAUAUAAGUACUCAUCUAGAUUAAAAUCUUCAGUGAGAACUCAAUUUUUCAGGAACAGAAAUUCAUAGGGGACCAUAGUCCAUUCAUUCUGCACCUCACAAAACUACUACUUUUAUUUCGUUAUGAUGUAGAUGGGAGGAAAAAUGAUUUUAUUUAGGAAACACGGUAAAAUAGUCGAUCUAGUGCAUCUAGCAGAUUUAGGAACUAGAUUUCAGAAGUCAGUUUGUUGUUGACUCCCUGAUAGUAAGAGAAACUAGCCCUAGCAGAGAGAGAGUGGUGCAGCAGCUGAAAUCAGACAAGGUUCUGAACAGAGCUAAACUAAAUAAAGGUGGGGGUCCAGAGCACUUUAUGGGGAAAUGUGGUUCCUGGGGUCCUUCCAUGUAGCUCAGAGUAGACUAAGGGGAGAUGGUCUAACAGUAGACUUCAAUUACUUGUAGGAGAGUUACAGAGAGACUGACAGCAAACUCCUGGUAGUAAUUGAUGGUAAGAAAGGGGCAGAGAGAAUGGAUAGAGUUUGUAUUCGGGGAAACAGGUGAAAUUUCUUCAUAAGGUGAGUAUGACAGCACUGGGCACAAGUUACUGAAAGAAAUGGUUGAGUCUCCAUCACAGAAGGUUUCUAAGUCUCAUGUAGACAACAGCACUAAUUCCUAGUGGGAGGUUGG